GGUCAAGCGAAUAAGCGCAUACGGUGGAUGCCUUGGCGGCAACAGGCGAUGAAAGACGUGGUAGCCUGCGAUAAGCCUCGGGGAGCUGGCAAACAAGCUUUGAUCCGAGGAUGUCUGAAUGGGGAAACCCACCUCGCAAGAGGUAUCCUUAUCUGAAUACAUAGGGUAAGGAAGCAAACCCGGGGAACUGAAACAUCUCAGUACCCGGAGGAAAAGAAAUCAACCGAGAUUCCGCUAGUAGUGGCGAGCGAACGCGGAGCAGCCCUUAAGUCACAUGUGUUUUAGCAGAACGGUCUGGAAAGUCCGGCCAUAGCGGGUGAUAGCCCCGUAUGUAAAAGGGCGCAUGUGAUGAAAUUGAGUAGGACGGGACACGUGUAAUCCUGUCUGAACAUGGGGGGACCAUCCUCCAAGGCUAAAUACUCGUUGCCGACCGAUAGUGAACCAGUACCGUGAGGGAAAGGCGAAAAGAACCCCGGAGAGGGGAGUGAAAUAGAACCUGAAACCGUAUGCGUACAAGCAGUCGGAGCCCCGCAAGGGGUGACGGCGUACCUUUUGUAUAAUGGGUCAGCGAGUUAUUUUCAGUGGCGAGGCUAACCGUUUAGGGGAGCCGUAGGGAAACCGAGUCUUAACAGGGCGACCAGUCGCUGGGAAUAGACCCGAAACCAGUCGAUCUAUCCAUGGCCAGGCUGAAAGUGGGGUAACACCCGCUGGAGGGCCGAACCAACCACUGUUGCAAAAGUGCGUGGAUGAGCUGUGGAUCGGAGUGAAAGGCUAAACAAGGCUGGAGAUAGCUGGUUCUCCUCGAAAGCUAUUUAGGUAGCGCCUCGUGAAUCACCCUCGGGGGUAGAGCACUGUUACGGCUAGGGUUCCGUCUAGGGAUACCAAACCGUUGCAAACUCCGAAUACCGAGGAGUGCGAUCACGGGAGACACACGGCGGGCGCUAACGUUCGUCGUGAAGAGGGAUACAACCCAGACCGCCAGCUAAGGUCCCAAAAUUACAGCUAAGUGGUGAACGAUGUGGGAAGGCAUAAACAGCCAGGAUGUUGGCUUAGAAGCAGCCAUCAUUUAAAGAAAGCGUAAUAGCUCACUGGUCGAGUCGGCCCGCGCGGAAGAUUUAACGGGGCUCAAGCUGUAUACCGAAGCUGCGGAUGUGUGCAUUCC
rnacentral:rRNA from 1 species